GUUAUCCGGAUUCACUAGGUUUAAGGGUGCGUAGGCGGAAUGAUAAGUCAGUGGGUGAAAUCUUGCGGCUCAACCGUGAAAUUGCCAUUGAUACUGUUAUUCUUGAGUAUGGUUGAGGUAGGCGGAAUGAGUAAUGUAGCGGUGAAAUGCUUAGAUAUUACUCAGAACACCGAUUGCGUAGGCAGCUUACCAAGCCAUCACUGACGCUGAGGCACGAAAGCGUGGGUAGCAAACAGGAUUAGAUACCCUGGUAGUCCACGCCGUAAACGUUGAUUACUCGUUGUUGGCAAUACACCGUCAGCGACUGAGCAAAAGCAUUAAGUAAUCCACCUGGGGAGUACGUCAGCAAUGAUGAAACUCAAAGGAAUUGACGGGGGCCCGCACAAGCGGAGGAACAUGUGGUUUAAUUCGAUGAUACGCGAGGAACCUUACCUGGGCUUAAAUGUUUAGUGAUCGACCGGGAGACCGGUUUUUCCUUCGGGACACUUUACAAGGUGCUGCAUGGUUGUCGUCAGCUCGUGCCGUGAGGUGUCGGGUUAAGUCCCAUAACGAGCGCAACCCCUAUCGCCAGUUGCCAGCACAUAAUGGUGGGAACUCUGGUGAAACUGCCGGUGCAAACCGUGAGGAAGGUGGGGAUGACGUCAAAUCAGCACGGCCCUUAUGUCCAGGGCUACACACGUGUUACAAUGGUCGGUACAACAGGAUGCCAAUCCGCAAGGAUGAGCUAAUCCCAAAAGCCGAUCUUAGUUCGGAUCGGAGUCUGCAAUUCGACUCCGUGAAGUUGGAUUCGCUAGUAAUCGCAGAUCAGCCAUGCUGCGGUGAAUACGUUCCCGGGCCUUGUACACACCGCCCGUCAAGCCAUGGAAGCCGGGGGUGCAUGAAGUCCGUAACCGUAAGGAGCGGCCACAGGGUAAAACCGGUAACUGGGGCUAAGUCGU
rnacentral:rRNA from 1 species